AGAGUUUGAUCAUGGCUCAGAUUGAACGCUGGCGGCAGGCUUAACACAUGCAAGUCGAGCGGGGGAGAUUGCUUCGGUAAUUGACCUAGCGGCGGACGGGUGAGUAAUACUUAGGAAUCUGCCUAUUAAUGGGGGACAACAUCUCGAAAGGGAUGCUAAUACCGCAUACGCCCUACGGGGGAAAGCAGGGGAUCACUUGUGACCUUGCGUUAAUAGAUGAGCCUAAGUCGGAUUAGCUAGUUGGUGGGGUAAAGGCCUACCAAGGCGACGAUCUGUAGCGGGUCUGAGAGGAUGAUCCGCCACACUGGGACUGAGACACGGCCCAGACUCCUACGGGAGGCAGCAGUGGGGAAUAUUGGACAAUGGGGGGAACCCUGAUCCAGCCAUGCCGCGUGUGUGAAGAAGGCCUUAUGGUUGUAAAGCACUUUAAGCGAGGAGGAGGCUCUUUUGGUUAAUACCCAAGAUGAGUGGACGUUACUCGCAGAAUAAGCACCGGCUAACUCUGUGCCAGCAGCCGCGGUAUUACAGAGGGUGCGAGCGUUAAUCGGAUUUACUGGGCGUAAAGCGUGCGUAGGCGGCUUUUUA
rnacentral:rRNA from 1 species